UCCCUCAUAGCUCAGUAGGUAAAGAAUCUGCCUGCAAUGCAGGAGACCUGGGUUUGAUUCCUAGGUUGGGAA
rfam:TPA: Bos taurus chromosome 19, whole genome shotgun sequence.